rnacentral:lncRNA from 1 species
AAUUCAGCUGCCUCCCAGGGUGAAUACAGGUAUUCCUGAUGACAGUCUGCCUCUAUCUUACAGAGCAGCUUGUUGCUAUAUACCAUUGAAAAGCCUUCAGAGCUGAGAGGUACUACUAACCAAUAACCUGCUUGGCUCAAAGGGCCAGCACCUUCUCUCUAAAGCCCAAGAGGAGUUUGAGGAAAACUAGGUGUCUGUGUUCACUCCAGGCUGAAGUUACAGGUGAGUAAACCUAAAUGUAAGGUGGACUAUGCUAAAAAUUCCCAAUGAAGAAACUUUCACAUGUCUUACUCUCUGUCCUAGUCCCAGAGCCUGUAAAGGUGAACCCACUGGGACUGGCUGGGGGAGAAGAGGAAGAUUUGUUCCAGAAGGAACUGUCUGAGGGAUGAUAAAGAUUUCUAUACAGAGAAAGGGAGUAAUCAUCACUUGUUGAAAACAUUGGUUUUAUUUUUUCCAGGUCUGAGCAAAUAAGG